ACAUGUUUACAACAUAGCAUUAAUUCACCAGAUCCAAUUAGAACUCUGCAGUUAAGCACGCUUGGGAUAGAGUAGUACUGGGAUGGGUGAUCGCCUAGGAAGUCUUAGUAUUUUACAUUCC
rnacentral:rRNA from 1 species